CGUGGGCACGCCUCAGCUGAGGGUCACGUGCGCCCGGCCAAGCUCUAGGCCGGAACUCGCGCGCGGAAUCCGGCGCCUGCCGCUUGGUUGGGCUCAGGAUGCGCGGCGGGCAGGGCGCGGCGCGGGCCCCGGUGAUCCAGUUCACCAACUGUCGCAUCCUGCGGGGCCGGGCGCUGCUCAGGGAGGAUCUGUGGGUGCGCGGGGGCCGCAUUCUGGAUCCGGAGAAGCUGUUCUUUGAGGAGCGGCGCGUGGCUGACGAGCAGAGGGACUGCGGGGGCUGCAUCCUAGCGCCCGGCUUCAUCGACGUGCAGAUCAACGGUGGGUUUGGCGUUGACUUCUCUCAGGCCACAGAGGACGUGGGUUCGGGAGUCGCCCUGGUGGCCCGGAGGAUCCUGCCGCACGGAGUCACCUCCUUCUGUCCCACGUUGGUCACCUCGCCACCGGAGGUUUAUUGCAAGGUCCUUCCUCAGAUCCCCGUGAAGAGUGGUGGUCCCCAUGGGGCAGGGGUCCUCGGGGUGCACCUGGAGGGCCCAUUCAUCAGCCACGAGAAGCGGGGUGCACACCCCGAGGCCCACCUGCGUUCCUUUGAGGCCAACGCUUUCCAAGACUUGCUGGCCACCUAUGGGGGCCUGGACAACGUCCGCAUCGUGACACUGGCCCCCGAGUUGGGCCGCAGCCACGAGGUGAUCCGGGCAUUGACGGCCCUUGGCAUCUGUGUGUCCCUAGGGCACUCAGUAGCUGACCUGGGCACUGCGGAGGAAGCCGUGCAGAGCGGGGCCACCUUCAUCACCCACCUCUUCAACGCCAUGCUGCCUUUCCACCACCGUGACCCAGGCAUCGUGGGGCUCCUGACCAGUGAUCGGCUGCCCCUGGGCCGCCACAUCUUCUACGGGAUGAUUGCUGACGGCAUACACACCAACCCUGCCGCCCUGCGCAUCGCCCACCGGGCCCACCCCGAGGGGCUGGUGCUGGUCACUGAUGCUGUCCCUGCCCUGGGCUUGGGCAAUGGCCGUCACACGCUGGGGCAGCAGGAGGUGGAGGUGGAUGGCCUGACAGCCUAUGUGGCAGGCACCAACACACUGAGUGGCAGCAUAGCCCCAAUGGAUACCUGCGUCCGGCAUUUCCUGCAGGCCACAGGAGCUCAUGGCAGAGGGAGAGGGCUGCGAGCAAGCGGAUGGCUGGAACCCACAGUGACAGGCACUGAAGCCACGGCACCCGAGGGCAGGGCCUUGGCCUGGGGCCUGUGGAACUGCAGGAUUGGCAGGCUGCAGCGUGGAGUCUGCCCUGGAGGCUGCGUCCCUGCACCCUGCACAGCUGCUGGGCCUGGAGAAGCACAAGGGGACCCUGGACUUUGGGGCCGAUGCAGACUUUGUGGUGCUCGAUGACUCUCUCCACGUCCGGGCCACCUACAUCUCGGGCGAGCUGGUGUGGCAGGCGGAAGAAGCCAGGCAGUGACUGAGGACCGCCGCUGGAGGGGAUGCCCAACCCCAGCUGGACACUGUCGGCUGGGCCAUCGAGGAACUGGUCUCCAGAGAGUGGUGGGGGCCUCGGCCCGGAGGCGGCUGGCUUGGAUAAACAUGUGCCCCGUCGGGACUCGCCUGGUCUCUGAGUUUUUUGCUUCAAAGUGGGGCUUUUGCUGUUUCUGUCCUCACCUUGGUGGCUGUUGGUGGUGGUGGUUGGGGCUGGUGUUUGUGGCUCAGGGUUGGGAGUGGCCGGAUUCCAGCUUCACCCUGCCUGUGGGGUUUAUGGGGCUCAGUGGGGGCAGCAGGUCCCCUCUCUGUUAGACAGAUGUGUCUGAGGCCUGCAGACCCACAGGCAGAUGAGCUAGCUGAAAAUGAACAGAGGGCAGGAGGGGGAAGCCAUGGACUACAGGAAGGGGCUUGGGGAGUGAUUGUUCAGCUUCAGCAGUUUGCCUAUGGGGCUGAGCUAAAGGGUAGGUGCACCUUGGAAUGUUUAACAGGAAAGAAUGGAUCAAUGGUCAUGGAGACAAGUUAGGGAACAGGCUGGAUGGAGCCGAAGACAGGAGGGGCCUCGGGUGGGCACUGCAAAGGGUUUGGGAGGCUGGUGUGUGCGGGUGUCCUGUGGGUAGUUCUCUGUACCCCUGAGUUGGGUGGGCCAAGUGGAGGCCCAAGGCCACAGCGCUGGACCUGGACACGGCACCGGGCACUCCUCUCCAACCUUCAAGAGGAAUCUGCACUGGCCUUGGGGCCCCUGGGCUGACCCCAGUCAACUUGCCCAACCAGAGUUUCUACUGCCUUGAGCCCUCAGGAUAAUUGAGGCUCCAUUUCUUUUGGCUUCUUUUCUGAACAGCUCUACUUCCUGACCCAGCUCCUGAGUGGGUAAAAUGAUCCGCUUGUGCCCUGGUGUUUACACAGCUGUGGGUGACCCUGCCUGGUGCUGAGGACAGGCUCCGGACGCGCAGGCCCAGCGACCAUGGCUCACGGGCCCAGCCGCUCCAUGGCAUGUGGGAUCUUCCCGGGGGCACGAACCCAUGUCCAUCAGCAGGCGGACUCUCAACCACUGCGCCACCAGGGAAGCCCGACGCUGCUGGGCUUUAAACACAAGGAUGCCCUGGCAUUUUAAGUGCUCCUUCUGGUUGCUGGGGGUGUGGGGGUAACAAGGAGACCCUGAGGGACUGGCUGUCGGGUGGCAGUGGGGCCAGAGACAAAGUAUGGGGACAGGCUUGCUCUGGUGUGGGUGUGGACUGGGGGGGCGGGGGAGGUGACACCAGGUGUGUGCCUGAGUCACUGGUGGGUGCGGGCGACUUUCACUAUUUGGAGAAGCUGGAGUGGGAUCCGGGGAGGUGACCUGGGGGCUCCCAGCUUCUCUUUCGUGGCUUGUUUGGGUGUGGGUGGGAGGACUCAAGGGCCCAGCGUUGGUAAGAGAGGCUCUGCAGGGAGGUGCUCAGCCCACGCAGCCGCCGCGUCGCGACUCCCCUGGGUGGGGGCGGGGGACACCUGGCUGCCGAGCCUGGGUGCUGCGAGGCUUCCACUGGACGCUUCUGGACUGUGCCGAGCGCCUGCGGUUCGAGUUGGAGUCUCAUCGCUGAGGGGUCCCUCCCGAAGCCUCGGGCUUGUCAUCGGGAUGACGGGCCUCCUAGGCCCCGAGCUCACCAGGCACCGUGGUGGGCCAUUAAUGCGCUCGGGGUCGCACGCGGAUUCGUGCAGGGGUUCCGGGUGGUCCCGGCCGGAGAAGUCCGUUUGGGGGUUGGGGACCGACUUACGGGCCACGCCGAACCGGGCUGUGCCUGAGGGGCGGGUCGUCCACAAUGAACCUGGUCCAACCCGCUACGCUGCGCGCCCGGGCUAAGAGGACCUGCAGGUCCGGGAAGGGGUGCGGCACCCGCUGACUCGCUCGCCCUGUGCGGGGCUCCUUCCUGUGGGCGGGCUUCUGGCUCUGGCCAAUCUGGGCCGCCCUGCGGAGAGCCGCGCCUCCCCCGAGCGAUAGGGGUGCGCGGAGCCCUCUGACCCAGUUUAAGGGCGGCCCAGCGCCCAGACCCGCCCGGCCCCGCCUCUUUGCGCCUGUUCCCUCUCCGUUCCAUCGCCUGCCUGUAGAACCCCCUGCACCACAACCCUCUUUUCCACGCCCCUCUGCCCCACUCCCCCACCGUUAACAGCUUGGUGUGGUUCUUUACAACGUGACCCUGGACUUGUUUCCACAUUUAUGUCUUUGUUUUACAACCUGGGAUUGCACUGUUUUGUUUUUGUUUCGGCCCGCUGUGUGGAUUGUGGGAUCUUAGUUCUCUGAUCAGGGAUCAAAUCGACGCCCUCUGCAGUGGAAGCGCAGAGUCUUAACCACUGGGCCGCCAGGGAAGUCCUAUACACUUUUAAUACUGCUCUAACAUUCACUAUUUUUUUUAAUUGAACAACGUGAAGUGGAGAGCUUCCCAGGUGGGGAUGCGUGGAUCUGUCUCACUGUUUUAACAAGGUACCCAGUGUUCUCUAAAAUGGAUGUUCCUUGACCUAAUAACCAGAUCCCACCAUGGACCAGCUGGGUUCCUCCCCACCCACCCCAGCUGCCCUGGGGAGGAUGGACCCUGGAGUGAUGCACAGGGAACUCUGCGGAUUCUGAUGCUCAAGUGUAUGUAAAAGGCUGAAGGGGGCCCUGCCUGGGCACUCCUUUGGGCCCUGUGGGUUCCUCCUCCAUCCUGUGGCCACAGAAGGGUCUUCUGUAUUAGUUUCUUAGUGCUGCUGGAACAAAUUACCACAAAUUUAGUGGUUUAAAAAGACAUAAAUUAUUUUACAAUUCUGAAGGUCAGAGUCAAAAAUAAACCUCAAUGGUCUAACAUCAAGGUUGUGGCAGCUCUAGGGGAGAAUCUGUUUUCUU